rnacentral:rRNA from 1 species
GGUUAAGCGACUAAGCGUACACGGUGGAUGCCCUGGCAGUCAGAGGCGAUGAAGGACGUGCUAAUCUGCGAUAAGCGUCGGUAAGGUGAUAUGAACCGUUAUAACCGGCGAUUUCCGAAUGGGGAAACCCAGUGUGUUUCGACACACUAUCAUUAACUGAAUCCAUAGGUUAAUGAGGCGAACCGGGGGAACUGAAACAUCUAAGUACCCCGAGGAAAAGAAAUCAACCGAGAUUCCCCCAGUAGCGGCGAGCGAACGGGGAGCAGCCCAGAGCCUGAAUCAGUGUGUGUGUUAGUGGAAGCGUCUGGAAAGGCGCGCGAUACAGGGUGACAGCCCCGUACACAAAAAUGCACAUGCUGUGAGCUCGAUGAGUAGGGCGGGACACGUGGUAUCCUGUCUGAAUAUGGGGGGACCAUCCUCCAAGGCUAAAUACUCCUGACUGACCGAUAGUGAACCAGUACCGUGAGGGAAAGGCGAAAAGAACCCCGGCGAGGGGAGUGAAAAAGAACCUGAAACCGUGUACGUACAAGCAGUGGGAGCACGCUUAGGCGUGUGACUGCGUACCUUUUGUAUAAUGGGUCAGCGACUUAUAUUCUGUAGCAAGGUUAACCGAAUAGGGGAGCCGAAGGGAAACCGAGUCUUAACUGGGCGUUAAGUUGCAGGGUAUAGACCCGAAACCCGGUGAUCUAGCCAUGGGCAGGUUGAAGGUUGGGUAACACUAACUGGAGGACCGAACCGACUAAUGUUGAAAAAUUAGCGGAUGACUUGUGGCUGGGGGUGAAAGGCCAAUCAAACCGGGAGAUAGCUGGUUCUCCCCGAAAGCUAUUUAGGUAGCGCCUCGUGAAUUCAUCUCCGGGGGUAGAGCACUGUUUCGGCAAGGGGGUCAUCCCGACUUACCAACCCGAUGCAAACUGCGAAUACCGGAGAAUGUUAUCACGGGAGACACACGGCGGGUGCUAACGUCCGUCGUGAAGAGGGAAACAACCCAGACCGCCAGCUAAGGUCCCAAAGUCAUGGUUAAGUGGGAAACGAUGUGGGAAGGCCCAGACAGCCAGGAUGUUGGCUUAGAAGCAGCCAUCAUUUAAAGAAAGCGUAAUAGCUCACUGGUCGAGUCGGCCUGCGCGGAAGAUGUAACGGGGCUAAACCAUGCACCGAAGCUGCGGCAGCGACGCUUAUGCGUUGUUGGGUAGGGGAGCGUUCUGUAAGCCUGUGAAGGUGUGCUGUGAGGCAUGCUGGAGGUAUCAGAAGUGCGAAUGCUGACAUAAGUAACGAUAAAGCGGGUGAAAAGCCCGCUCGCCGGAAGACCAAGGGUUCCUGUCCAACGUUAAUCGGGGCAGGGUGAGUCGACCCCUAAGGCGAGGCCGAAAGGCGUAGUCGAUGGGAAACAGGUUAAUAUUCCUGUACUUGGUGUUACUGCGAAGGGGGGACGGAGAAGGCUAUGUUGGCCGGGCGACGGUUGUCCCGGUUUAAGCGUGUAGGCUGGUUUUCCAGGCAAAUCCGGAAAAUCAAGGCUGAGGCGUGAUGACGAGGCACUACGGUGCUGAAGCAACAAAUGCCCUGCUUCCAGGAAAAGCCUCUAAGCAUCAGGUAACAUCAAAUCGUACCCCAAACCGACACAGGUGGUCAGGUAGAGAAUACCAAGGCGCUUGAGAGAACUCGGGUGAAGGAACUAGGCAAAAUGGUGCCGUAACUUCGGGAGAAGGCACGCUGAUACGUAGGUGAAGUCCCUCGCGGAUGGAGCUGAAAUCAGUCGAAGAUACCAGCUGGCUGCAACUGUUUAUUAAAAACACAGCACUGUGCAAACACGAAAGUGGACGUAUACGGUGUGACGCCUGCCCGGUGCCGGAAGGUUAAUUGAUGGGGUCAGCGCAAGCGAAGCUCUUGAUCGAAGCCCCGGUAAACGGCGGCCGUAACUAUAACGGUCCUAAGGUAGCGAAAUUCCUUGUCGGGUAAGUUCCGACCUGCACGAAUGGCGUAAUGAUGGCCAGGCUGUCUCCACCCGAGACUCAGUGAAAUUGAACUCGCUGUGAAGAUGCAGUGUACCCGCGGCAAGACGGAAAGACCCCGUGAACCUUUACUAUAGCUUGACACUGAACAUUGAGCCUUGAUGUGUAGGAUAGGUGGGAGGCUUNNNNNNNNNNNNNNNNNNNNNNNNNNNNNNNNNNNNNNNNNNNNNNNNNNNNNNNNNNNNNNNNNNNNNNNNNNNNNNNNNNNNNNNNNNNAUCCGGGUUGCGGACAGUGUCUGGUGGGUAGUUUGACUGGGGCGGUCUCCUCCUAAAGAGUAACGGAGGAGCACGAAGGUUGGCUAAUCCUGGUCGGACAUCAGGAGGUUAGUGCAAUGGCAUAAGCCAGCUUGACUGCGAGCGUGACGGCGCGAGCAGGUGCGAAAGCAGGUCAUAGUGAUCCGGUGGUUCUGAAUGGAAGGGCCAUCGCUCAACGGAUAAAAGGUACUCCGGGGAUAACAGGCUGAUACCGCCCAAGAGUUCAUAUCGACGGCGGUGUUUGGCACCUCGAUGUCGGCUCAUCACAUCCUGGGGCUGAAGUAGGUCCCAAGGGUAUGGCUGUUCGCCAUUUAAAGUGGUACGCGAGCUGGGUUUAGAACGUCGUGAGACAGUUCGGUCCCUAUCUGCCGUGGGCGCUGGAGAACUGAGGGGGGCUGCUCCUAGUACGAGAGGACCGGAGUGGACGCAUCACUGGUGUUCGGGUUGUCAUGCCAAUGGCACUGCCCGGUAGCUAAAUGCGGAAGAGAUAAGUGCUGAAAGCAUCUAAGCACGAAACUUGCCCCGAGAUGAGUUCUCCCUGACUCCUUGAGAGUCCUGAAGGAACGUUGAAGACGACGACGUUGAUAGGCCGGGUGUGUAAGCGCAGCGAUGCGUUGAGCUAACCGGUACUAAUGAACCGUGAGGCUUAACCUU